AAGUAGUUAUAGCGUAUUCAAAUGACAAAAAGCAUACAUAUAAAUGAUAACACGAAUACAAGGCUUCAAAGGACUAAUUGACAACCUAAUAAGAAUGUACUAGCUUGCUAAUUAGUUCUCGAGUCAAUUAGAAGAAACUAAGAAUCAAUAAUUAGAAACUAGAAUAUCCAAAUUGAGCUUAAUUAAUGAUGUGAACAGUGAUCAAGGUGAUGUGACAUCAUGAAAUUGGUCACGGGUCCAUACAUUUUGUUCAAAACUUGAAGCCUUAAUCUUCACAAUUUUGUAAUGGAGGACUUUGCUUUUGGAGGGAAAGUAAAGUCUUAUAACUUUUCAACUUUUUCCAACUCAAAAAGAUGAGGCUUGACUUUACUAGUUCCACAAGACAAGGAUACUUGUUUUAAGGAAAAGUGGUUGUUAAGUUGUCUAAAGUACUUAUAUUAAAAUAAAAGGAAUCAUUCUUCUUCUGCACAAGAUUGAAGUGGCUCCACAACAAUAAUAUAAAACUGAUUAAUGAUUUUGCUUAAGUAGUGCCUUAAACAAAGAAGAAGUAGUCAGUUUAGCUUCACUUAAUAAUCUUUGAAGGUUUAGCAUUCUGAUCAGAAACACUUUUUUCUUUCUUUACUUCAACAGUUGUUCAAUGGACAUACUUAAUAAUGCUGUAGGUGGCUUUGUUAUUGAGGUGGGAAAGUUUGUAUCUAAAUGCAUUUAUAAGAAAGCGUCUUAGCCGCUGCAAUGAUUUCUUGCAUAGAUUCCCAUUCUUUCGCCAGCUCGUGAACAAUUUCGAUCCACUUGACAACAUCUGGUUUUGGUUUAUAGCCUUCUUCCUCAGCUCCUUCCACCUUUGCUUUGAUCUCAUCUCUAAACUUUGUUAGCUUCUCCAUUUCCUUUCUCAGAUUUUCAAUUUUUUAUGAGAAAUGGAUGAUAUUUUCAAUCUUAGGAUAGAUGCAUUUAUAUACAAACUUUCCCACCUCGACAACAAAGCAACCUGCAGCAUUAAUAAGUAUGUCCAUUGAAAAACUGUUGAAGUAAAGAAAGAAAAAACAACUGUUUCUGAU
rnacentral:lncRNA from 1 species